rnacentral:sRNA from 1 species
AUUUAGCCCUGAUAGCAGUGAAAAUCCUUUUUCUUUUUUCUUUAAAAAGGAAAAGAUUGCAACGUAUAGCGGGAAAUAGC